rnacentral:rRNA from 1 species
UUAGAGUUUGAUCCUGGCUCAGGAUGAACGCUAGCUACAGGCUUAACACAUGCAAGUCGAGGGGCAGCAUGAACUUAGCUUGCUAAGUUUGAUGGCGACCGGCGCACGGGUGAGUAACACGUAUCCAACCUUCCGUUUACUCAGGGAUAGCCUUUCGAAAGAAAGAUUAAUACCUGAUAGUAUGGUGAGAUUGCAUGAUAACACCAUUAAAGAUUUAUUGGUAAACGAUGGGGAUGCGUUCCAUUAGGUAGUAGGCGGGGUAACGGCCCACCUAGCCUGCGAUGGAUAGGGGUUCUGAGAGGAAGGCCCCCCACAUUGGAACUGAGACACGGUCCAAACUCCUACGGGAGGCAGCAGUGAGGAAUAUUGGUCAAUGGGCGAGAGCCUGAACCAGCCAAGUAGCGUGAAGGAUGAAGGUCCUACGGAUUGUAAACUUCUUUUAUACGGGAAUAAAGUUUCCUACGUGUAGGAUUUUGUAUGUACCGUAUGAAUAAGCAUCGGCUAACUCCGUGCCAGCAGCCGCGGUAAUACGGAGGAUGCGAGCGUUAUCCGGAUUUAUUGGGUUUAAAGGGAGCGCAGACGGGAGAUUAAGUCAGUUGUGAAAGUUUGCGGCUCAACCGUAAAAUUGCAGUUGAUACUGGUUUCCUUGAGUGCAGUUGAGGCAGGCGGAAUUCGUGGUGUAGCGGUGAAAUGCUUAGAUAUCACGAAGAACCCCGAUUGCGAAGGCAGCUUGCUAAACUGUAACUGACGUUCAUGCUCGAAAGUGUGGGUAUCAAACAGGAUUAGAUACCCUGGUAGUCCACACGGUAAACGAUGGAUACCCGCUGUUGGCGAUAUACUGUCAGCGGCCAAGCGAAAGCAUUAAGUAUCCCACCUGGGGAGUACGCCGGCAACGGU